rnacentral:tRNA from 1 species
GGGGUUGUGGCUCAGCAGUAGGGUGCUCACCUUGCACGUGUGAGACCCUGGGUUCAAUCCUCAGCACCA